UUCUUAAAGAAAUAAUUUUAAGUAAGACCUGCUCAAUGUUAAAUAAAUGGCCGCAGAAAAUUUACUGUGCUAAGGUAGCAUAAUCAUUAGUCUUUUAAUUAACGACUAGAAUGAAAGGUCCAACAUUUCAGUUACUUUUUUAAACUAACCAAUAAAUCUAUAUAAAAGAUAAAAAUAUCUUUAUUACAAAGAAAGACGACAAGACCCUAUCAAACUUUACUUAAGUUAAGCUGGGGCAGCUUACUAAUAAUCAUUUUAAUACAAUUUUUCUUUCUAACCCGACCCAACACUGUUGCAUAGAACUAGUUACUGUAGGGAUAACAGCGCAAUUUUAUCUAUAAGUUCUUAUUUAAAAUAAAGAUUACGACCUCGAUGUUGAAUAAUUUAACUUUUUAACGCAAUAGUUAAUUAAGUAAGUCUGUUCGACUUUUAAAAAAUUACG
rnacentral:rRNA from 1 species